UAUCUCUGUAGAGUCUGCAUAUCAAUAAGCGGAGGAAAAGAAACUAACUAGGAUUCCCUCAGUAACGGCGAGUGAAGCGGGAAGAGCUCAAAUUUGAAAUCUUCAAGGUUCUACCUUGACGAAUUGUAGUUUAAAGAAGUGUUUUCUGUUGGAGUUGAGUACAAAGUUCCUUUGGAAUAGGACAUCAUAGAGGGUGAGAAUCCCGUAUUUGACCAUUAUUUCCAGCUUUGUGAUACACUUUCAAAGAGUCGGAUUGUCUGGGAAUGCAGUCCAAAAUGGGUGGUAAAUUUCAUCUAAAGCUAAAUACUGGCGAGAGACCGAUAGCGAACAAGUACCGUGAGGGAAAGAUGAAAAGAACUUUGAAAAGAGAGUUAAACAGUACGUGAAAUUGUCAAAAGGGAAGCGUUUGACACCAGUGUUGUUUUUCCGAAAAUCAAUUACGAAUGGCUUGAUUCUGUGUUGUAUUGACCUUAUCAGCUUUCUUCACUUUUUUCGAGUCUUUCUUAAUGCACUUUUCGGUUAACAAGUCAACAUCAAUUUCUUUUGUUGUAAAAGAGUAUUCGGAAGGUGGCUUUCUUUUCGGAGAAAGUGUUUAUAGCCCUAUACUUCUACAAUCGGAGAGAUUGAGGUCUGCAGCGUAGAUCCUUCGGGGUUAGAUACACUUGUGCUAAGUUGUAGCUUUUCAUAGACAACUUGUUGACUAUGUUUAGUCAUGCGGCUUACUCGCUUAUGCUAUUUUACCUACGCUUAGGAUGUUGAAGAUGUAGCACAUCAU
rnacentral:rRNA from 1 species